rnacentral:rRNA from 1 species
AGUUAAGUUAGAAAGGGCGCACGGUGGAUGCCUUGGCACUAGGAGCUGAUGAAGGACGGGACAAACACCGAUAUGCUUCGGGGAGCUGUAAGUAAGCGUUGAUCCGGAGAUUUCCGAAUGGGGGAACCCACUGUCCGUAAUGGGGCAGUAUCCACACGUGAAUACAUAGCGUAU